rfam:Microdochium bolleyi strain J235TASD1 unplaced genomic scaffold Micbo1qcscaffold_11, whole genome shotgun sequence.
AACCUCCACCGACGUGACACAACAUCCAGCAGCGGUGUUGUGCGACCUGCAGUGUCAGUCGGUGAAGGUU